ACGAACGAGGUUGGUGCAGUGAUUGCGCAGGCUCAGGUUCUGCCGAAGGUGCCGUCGGGUGGGCCCACGUGUCCCCAGGCGUACGCCGGAGGCAGAGCCGUACUCCUCGCGAGCACGGACCAGCAGCGGUUGGAGUGGAGCCACAAGGCUGACAGGAAGGUAGGUCGGGUCGGGCUCGCCCGCUCGACAACUUACAGACUGGCUGUCCGGUGUUCCACUCGGACCGAGGAAAGCGGGCAGCUCUUGCCCAGUGUGGUGCACGCCGUAUGGCGGGGCCUCCCGUCGAGGGCAAGUCGUGCGGGGUUGACUGCUUGCAGUGCUCACCGUCACGGCGAACCCACGGUCGGAGAGUGUCACUUGU
rnacentral:misc_RNA from 1 species